rnacentral:rRNA from 1 species
AAACUAGGAUUAGAUACCCUAUUAUUUUAAGCUAUAAAUUGUUAGUAAUUAAAAUUUAUGAAAUCAUAAGAUUUUGGCGGUAUUUUAAGCUUUUUAGAGGAAUUUGCCCUGUAAUGGAUAUAACACCUAAAUCUUACUUAAUUUUGUUAAAACAGUUUGUAUACCACUAUAUAUAAUUAUAUUGAAUAAUUAUUAUUAAUAUUUUUAUAUAAAAAUAGAUAUUAAGUCAAGGUGCAACAUAUAAUUAUGAAUGAGGUGAAUUWMYAUUAAUUUUUUAUGAAAUUUUUAAAUGAAAAAUUUUUUAGGAUUAAAAGUAAAAUAUUAAUAUUAUGAAUAUUUGAAAAGAGCUCUGAAAUAUGCACACAUCGCCCGUCGCUCUCAUU